UACGUAGGGGGCGAGCGUUGUCCGGAAUUAUUGGGCGUAAAGAGCUUGUAGGCGGUCUGUCGCGUCUGCUGUGAAAAUCCGGGGCUCAACCCCGGGUCUGCAUUCGAUACGGGCAGGCUAGAGUGUGGUAGGGGAGAUCGGAAUUCCUGGUGUAGCGGUGAAAUGCGCAGAUAUCAGGAGGAACACCGGUGGCGAAGGCGGAUCUCUGGGCCAUUACUGACGCUGAGGAGCGAAAGCGUGGGGAGCGAACAGG
rnacentral:rRNA from 1 species